UGUGCAGCUCUCUGGUCUGGGGAGCGAGAUGCGCACGCACCCACGAUCGGCAGCGCGAGAGAAAGAGAGAGCGAGCGAGAGCGAGAGAGGGAGUUGUGCACCAAGGCCGUCCUGCCACCUCAACAUGGAGUAGACCAUAGACCCUAGCACCGUUUUUCGCGACCAAAAAGGAAAGGAAUACCCGCCACGGCUCCGAGGUUGUGUGUCCACUCUUAAUGCCCGGCCCCGCGGUACGGUAGCAGCGAAGUCUUGCUCGGAUCGCGAAGGAGGGAUCGGCAUUUAUCGGAAAGAUGGCGAACGACUCUCCGGCUAAAAGUCUGGUAGACAUAGACCUGGCUUCAUUGCGGGAUCCAGCUGGGAUAUUUGAAUUGGUGGAGGUGGUUGGGAAUGGCACCUAUGGACAAGUAUACAAGGGACGGCAUGUCAAAACAGGACAGCUGGCGGCCAUCAAGGUCAUGGAUGUCACUGAGGACGAGGAGGAAGAGAUCAAGUUGGAGAUCAACAUGCUGAAGAAGUACUCUCACCACAGGAACAUCGCCACCUACUAUGGGGCCUUCAUCAAGAAGAGCCCCCCAGGACACGAUGACCAGCUCUGGCUGGUCAUGGAGUUCUGCGGGGCGGGCUCCAUCACCGACCUGGUGAAGAACACUAAGGGGAACCAGUUGAAGGAGGACUGGAUCGCCUACAUCUCCCGGGAGAUCCUCAGAGGUCUCGCCCACCUCCACGCCCACCACGUCAUCCAUCGAGACAUCAAGGGCCAGAACGUUCUGCUGACGGAGAACGCCGAAGUCAAGCUGGUGGACUUCGGCGUGAGCGCCCAGCUGGACCGCACGGUGGGCCGCCGGAACACCUUCAUCGGCACGCCGUACUGGAUGGCGCCCGAGGUCAUCGCCUGCGACGAGAACCCCGACGCCACGUACGACUACAGGAGCGACCUCUGGUCGACCGGCAUCACGGCCUUGGAGAUGGCCGAAGGAGCUCCACCGCUCUGCGACAUGCACCCGAUGCGUGCGCUCUUCCUCAUCCCAAGGAACCCUCCCCCUCGACUGAAAUCUAAAAAAUGGUCCAAGAAGUUCAUCAGCUUCAUCGAGGCGUGCCUGGUGAAGAACUACACCCAGAGGCCGCCCACGGAGCAGCUGCUGAAGCACCCCUACAUCCGGGACCAGCCCAACGAGAGACAGGUCCGCAUCCAGCUCAAGGACCACAUCGACCGCACCAAGAAGAAACGCGGCGAGAGGGACGAGACGGAGUACGAGUACAGCGGCAGCGAGGAGGAAGAGGAGGAGCCCGCGGAGCAGGACGGGGAACCAAGCUCCAUCGUCAACGUGCCGGGUGAGUCCACGCUGCGCCGGGACUUCAUCCGGCUGCAGCAGGAGAACAAGGAGCGCUCCGAGGCGCUGCGGCGGCAGCAGCUGCUGCAGGAGCAGCAGAUGAGGGAGCAGGAGGAGUACAAGAGGCAGCUGCUGGCCGAGCGGCAGAAGCGCAUCGAGCAGCAGAAGGAGCAGAGGCGGCGGCUGGAGGAGCAACAGCGCCGCGAGCGCGAGGUGCGGCGGCAGCAGGAGCGCGAGCAGCGCCGCCGCGAGCAGGAGGAGAAGCGCCGCGUGGAGGAGACGGACCGCCGCCGCAAGGAGGAGGAGGAGCGCCGGCGGGCCGAGGACGAGAAGAGGAGGAACGACCGGGAGCAGGAGUACAUCCGCCGGCAGUUGGAGGAGGAGCAGAGGCACCUGGAGAUGCUGCAGCAACAGCUGCUCCACGAGCAGGCCAUGCUGUUGGCGGACGAGCGCUACCGCAAGAACAUCCAGGGCUCCCCGCAGACAGCCCCGCCCCCCAAGCAGCCCCCCCUGCCCCCCCGCUCCUCCGAACCCUUCUCCAACGGGGCGGGGCCGGCCGAGGCCUCCGCCAUGCACCGGCCCAUGGAGCCACAGGUCCAGUGGUCCCACCUGGCCGCUCUCAAGAGCAGCACCAGCGCCGCCGCCUCCGCCCCCUCUCCUCCUCCUCCACCUCCCCCCCCCGCCGCCCCCCCCAUCGGGGCCCCCCCGCCCGCGGUCGCGCGCUCGCAGUCGUUCAGCGAGCCUGGCGGCGGCGGCGGCGGCGGCGUUGCCCCGGGCUACGCCCAGCUGCACCUGCGCUCCGCCCAGGACCCCCCCCAACACCAACACCACCACCACCACCAUCAUCACCCAUCGCCCGCACGACCCGACCCCCAGCCCCAACCUCCCCAACACCACCACCCCCAGGCCCCCAGCGACGAGGUGCCUCCCAGGGUCCCGGUGAGGACAACGUCCAGGUCUCCUGUGCUGUCCCGCCGCGAGUCGCCCUUGCCGACGCAGCCUAGCAACCAGGUCGCCCAGAGGAACGUCGGCAGCAGCGCGGAGCCCCGUCCGCUGUGGGACCGCGUGGAGAAGCUGCAGCCCCGGCCGGGCAGCGGCAGCUCCUCGGGCUCGUCCAACUCCAGCUCCCAGGCUGGCUCCGGGGACCGCUUCAGGCCUCGCUGUGAGUCCCCCGCCUCUUCCAAAUCCGAAGGGUCGCCCCUCCAACGACCGGACAACGCUGCCAAAAAGACAGAAGACAAGAACCUGGCCAGGCCAAGCCGGCCAGCCGACCUGACGGCCCUGGCCAAGGAGCUGCGUGCCGUGGACGACGUGCGGCCCCCGCACAAGGUCACGGACUACUCCUCCUCCAGCGACGACUCGGGCACCACCGACGAGGAGGAGGACGAGGAGGUGGACCAGGAGGCGGGCGAGGAGUCCACGUCCGGGGCCGAGGACUCCAGGGCUGGAUAUUCCCAUGGCUUCUACAGGAGGCUGAGCAACGGCGAGACGGAGUCCCUGAAGACCAUGCUGGCCGAGGACUCGGAGAGCGACCAGGCCACAACGCCCUCCAAAGACGGCACCCUGGUCAUCAGACAGAGCGCCAGUGAGCUAAAGAGUGCGGCGGCGGCUCUGGUCGCCGCCGCUGGCACUGGCCCGCCGGAGAAAAACGGCUUGCACCACCUCCCGCACCAGCUCCCGCACCACCUCCACCUCCUCCACCAGCACCAGCAGCAGCAACAGCAGCAGCACCUGCCCGACCUUAUCCAGCAGAGCCACCCCUCCCCUUCCUUGGCCGCCUCCUCCGCCUCCUCCACCACCUCAUCCUCCGCCUCCUCCACCCCCAUGCCCUCCUCCUCCUCCUCCACCUCCACCACCUCCUCCUCCUCCUCCUUCCCCCCGGCGUCCAGCCACAACGGCUCCCAGGCCUUGCGGCCGCAGAACCUCCUGGAUCAGCUCAAUGCCGAGGAGACCCAGUCGGCCAGCAGCACCAUGACCAAACACAAGUCUUCGUCCUCCUUCACACCCUUCAUCGACCCCCGCCUCCUCCAGGUCUCGCCCUCCAGCGGCAGCUCCCUCAACAACAUGGGUGAGUUGUUAGCGAGCUUCGGCCAGGACGUGCGGCUGCCCGAGGCGCUGCGGGCCGACCCGUCCCGUAAGGGCUCGGUGGUGAACGUCAACCCGGUCAACACACGCCCGCACAGCGACACGCCCGAGAUCCGCAAGUACAAGAAGAGGUUCAACUCGGAGAUCCUGUGCGCCGCGCUCUGGGGUGUGAACCUGCUGGUGGGUACCGAGAGCGGGCUGAUGCUGUUGGACCGCAGCGGCCAGGGGAAGGUCUACCCGCUCAUCAACCGCCGGCGCAUCCAGCAGAUGGACGUCCUCGAGGGCCUCAACGUACUGGUCACCAUCUCGGGCAAGAAGAACAAGCUGCGUGUCUACUACCUGUCGUGGCUGAGGAACAAGAUUUUGCACAACGACCCCGAGGUGGAGAAGAAGCAGGGCUGGGUUACCGUGGGCGACCUGGAGGGAUGCGUCCACUACAAAGUCGUGAAAUAUGAGAGGAUUAAGUUCUUGGUGCUGGCUUUGAAGAACGCUGUGGAGGUAUACGCCUGGGCGCCCAAACCCUACCACAAAUUCAUGGCCUUCAAGUCUUUCGGUGACCUGGUGCACAAACCUCUGUUGGUGGACCUGACGGUGGAGGAGGGUCAGAGGUUAAAGGUCAUCUACGGCUCGUACUCGGGCUUCCACGCCGUGGACGUCGACUCCGGCGCCGUCUACGACAUCUACCUUCCCACGCACAUCCAGACCAGCAUCCAGUCCCACGCCAUCAUCAUCCUGCCCAACACGGACGGCAUCGAGCUGCUGGUGUGCUACGAGGACGAGGGCGUCUACGUCAACACCUACGGCCGCAUCACUAAGGACGUGGUGCUGCAGUGGGGCGAGAUGCCCACCUCCGUGGCCUACAUUAGGUCCAACCAGAUUAUGGGCUGGGGGGAGAAGGCCAUCGAGAUCCGCUCGGUGGAGACGGGGCACCUGGACGGGGUCUUCAUGCACAAGAGGGCCCAGCGGCUCAAGUUCCUCUGUGAGAGGAAUGACAAGGUGUUCUUCGCCUCGGUGCGCUCCGGCGGCGCCAGCCAGGUGUACUUCAUGACCCUGGGACGCACCUCUCUGAUGAGCUGGUAGUCAUGACGACCGCAUCCCCCGAAGAAGAAGAAGAAAAAAAAAACGGGAAAAAAAAGGAAAACCAAACCUGCCGGCCAGGCAGGGGUGGGCGCGACAAAACCACACACUUAAAAAACACAUGCACGAACGUACGCACGCACGCAAAAAUACGAAAAAGCGGCCGACGGACUUUGACGAUACUUCCCGAAGACGACAAACGACCCUGUGCUGAUGUAUAGACUGAACUGUAUUGGACAUUUCUGUUUCGUUAGAGGAGGAGGAGGAGGAGGAGGCGGCGGCGGCGGUUGGGGGGGAAGGAUUUCCAACUGGCAGACGGAAGAGUCUAUGUGUGUUUGCGGGAAGGGGGGACUGGGGUGUAAUCGUACCCUACAGCAUGGAACAGGCCCCUCCUUGUGGCGCACACCCCCCCCCCCCCCCCCCUAGCCCUUCCGCUUCCCCUUGUCUCUUUCGGCGGCCAUCUUUGAGGUGGUGUAGCAUGGAUGGUAAACAUAUACGUGUCAUAGUAAUGCUUAGUCUUCUGUGUGUGUGUGUGUGUGUGUGUGUGUGUGUGUGUGUGUGUGUGUGUGUGUGUGUGUGUGUGUGUGUGUGUGUGUGUGUGUGUGUGUGUGUGUGUGUGUGUGUGUGUGUGUGUGUGUGUGUGUGUGUGUGUGUGUGUGUGUGUGUGUGUGCGUGGGGCCUGUAGAAGUAAAAUUUAAAAAAGCCCGUACCUGAUACCUUUUUAUAGACAUCUCACCCACAGACUCACCUCUUGUUAUGGGGGGCCUCAUGUUUUUUUAUUUUCUAUGUUUUUGUGAUUUUGGUUCCCGUUCCGGUUCCAGUCGAGGCGGUGCCUUCCCUUCGCUGGAGAGUGUAGGAUCUGCUGCCACCUUGUGGCCAUCUGCAGAAAGGAUACCAAGAUAAAAAAAAAUAAGUCUCGGAGACAAACCACUUGGGGGGAGGGGGAGCAACACGGCAACAAAUAUUUAACUUGGGGACUUAGCUAAUUUUUGUUUAUGCAAUUUUUUUUUUACUAAUUAUUCUAUAACCCACUUCGGAUAUGCGACUGCAGUGGUUUUUACGAUGCAGACACCUUACGUUGGAAAUGUUUACAGGAACAAUUGUUUUGUUAAAACCAAUGUGCAUCGGUGUAUUUAUGGAUUACCUUAUAGGGCAGUUAACACCCCCUUCCUUCCCCCUUCACUUUUUGUACUUUGUAUUAUUCUCUUUUGUAUUAUGGUUUUGAGGUUCGUGUACAGGAAUAAUCGUAGACCUCUUGCUAAGGUUUCAAACCACACAAUCCACGUUCUCGUCCCGGGGUCAGGCGAUGGCAUUCCCGCGAUGGUUUGAAAAGCUGUGCACCAGCCAGUUGCCCGGUGACAUCAUUUGUCUCCCUCAAAUGUCUUUCUUACCUCUCUCUAAUUUAUGUCCUCUAUCUCUUGUGUGCUAUGGGAGUAACUGUAUUUUCCUGAAGGUCUUUUUUUUUUUUUUUCAUUGAAUAAAAUCUUAAGUAAUCUA